ensembl:lncRNA
UUUUAUUAAAGUGUUAUGUUUAACACAAAAUAAUAAUUUAUUAUUGUUUGCUUUACUUUAAUUAGGUGCUCUUGCUGGGGCAUUGUAAAAAUUGGUGUCAAGCCUUACCAUAUUUCAGGCUUUACUGGAUAGAUGGUGUGUGUCUGAUGAAGACUUCAGAUUCUGAACACAUCAAAAAACACCAACCCCUCCUGACAUAUCUUUUCAGUUUGGGCAAAACAUGAAUGUAUGUGCCAAAGUAGAAUUCAUUAACCUUAGCCGUGAUCAGCUCAUCAUCUCUCCAUACCCUUUCCACAUGGAAGUCACCCCUUGUUCUUGUCACAAGAUCACACCAAGCUAACUAAGCCAGUAACCAUCAGCUGACCUUGGACUUGCCAAUUGGCACUUAACCUCUACCAGGCCAUAGAGGGGUUCUUCAUUUGGGUCCACCACUUUGCCAUCUGGACUUGCAGCAAGGUGUGGAGCAUCGGGGUGGAUGAGACCAGAUGGAAGAACGUUAACGUCAAAGGUCUCAGCAUAGUGGCGAAGAACCUCUGGCUCAAGUUUCAAUACUCUACACAUCUCUCUCUAGAGACCCCAGACAGAUGUUUACACUCACUGUUUAAUGCAAGAUAUAAAUGCAUUUAACCUGCAAUUACAAAUGCAUAAUGUUUGGAUAUUUUUAUCCUAAAAUGUUGAAUACUGAUAUUUGAAAUCAUAAAAAAAGAAAGUGCUUUAAGAUGUGAAAUUAAAAACGCC